UACACUUUUCGCACGGAGAAAAAUGAUCCCUCUUACCAGGGGCACUUUUGUGACAUUGAUAGUUCAGUGAAAUAGUUUCUCGAGUAAAAUAAUUUUUUGCCAUUUCUUGUUAUCGGAGAGCGCAAAUCUUAACACUCACAUGAUGCUAGAGGUUUUGCAGAGAAAGCUGCGGGAGCGACCUAAAACAACAAAAGAAAUUUGUGGCCUAAUAUCACGCAUUAACUCUUGACAUUGGCGUUUUGAGAAGCGUUAACAUUUGGUAUAACUAUCGAUAUAUAAAGUGCAGCACCGUAAAUACGGACAUCAAAGUAGUUUGCGAACAUUUGCGCAUUCACGAAACUCAGAAUGAGAACUUAUUCAGCUCAUUUUUCAGAAAGCGCUUAAAGGUUGUACGGGAGGAACAGUUUGCCCUUGUCAGCAAUACAUAAGGGUGCAGGGUACAACCGACUGUUAUGAUUGCGGACAUUCACCUUCCAAACACAUUGGGCUGGGCCGCCAAACGGCAGAUCCAGCAACCAGCCCACUCAUGGGGAGGAAUGUGGCUAAACUUGCAGAGGCAGCCAAUAGCACAAAGUGCUAAGCACAAAGCACAAAGCAUCAAGCCAUCAUCGAAAGAGAAUUUGAUGUGGAUGCCGAGUUGAGAAAAAUUGUGCCGCCUUAAAUUAUAGUGGCUAAAGAUGAUUGUAUGGAUGUGGACCUUCUCCACAUUGGAGCACAAGGUGCUGUGUUUUGCACCAUCCAGAAUGAAUGAAUAAAUUAAAUGGCUGACAUCCAUCUUGUGCACAAUAAUUUGGAAGAUGAAAAGCAGUACAACCCUGAAGAAAGAUCCAAAGGAAAAAGAUGAAGAUAGGGAGAGGGGGGAGAAAGACGUAUUUCUAAAUAGGGGAGCAGAGGCAGAUAAAAUUCAACCAGUCCACCACUAACGAAAACUUCAUAAAAGCGUGCGUACAAGAAUUUCUAGGAAUCGAUCCACUUGAUUUCGAGGAGGAGAUUUCUAAGCGAAAACUGGACGAUUUUCCUCUAGACGGGAAGGCUCGGGUGUUCUCGGGUGAUCCCGACUACCACGAGAAAACAUAUCGCAAUAGAAACAGAAAUGAAACUAUUCUUUUAUAUAAAUUCACCAUGUCUUUUUUAUCUAUAUGAAAAUCCUAUAAAAAAAGCUUUGUUAUUUCUAUUUAUUGAAUUAUAAAUAAUGUAGACUGGCACAUUGUAGAGAAGACUUGUAAUCAGAGCGCUAUGGGAAGCAUGCUCUUAUCAAGAUCUUGAAUACU